UACGGGGGGAGCAAGCGUUGUUCGGAUUUACUGGGCGUAAAGGGCGCGUAGGCGGCCACCGCAAGUCAGUUGUGAAAUCUCUGGGCUUAACCCAGAACGGUCAGCUGAUACUGCGGGGCUAGAGUGCAGAAGGGGCAACUGGAAUUCUCGGUGUAGCGGUGAAAUGCGUAGAUAUCGAGAGGAACACCCGCGGCGAAGGCGGGUUGCUGGGCUGACACUGACGCUGACAGCGCGAAAGCUAGGGGAGCGAACGGG
rnacentral:rRNA from 1 species